UGCAUUAGAAACUUCUGGGUGCACUGUUGCUUUAUUAUUUAUAGCAGGCUCAAUAAGAAAACCUGUACAACCCUUGCAAAUCACUGCAAGCAAACUAAAUGGGAUUAGUUGAGAAAGGGACACCAAGAUGCACGAAAACAACAGCUUUUCUAUGUAGCAGUCACCACCCUUAUGACUCCACUAUUAAUUGCUGCAUGAUCACUACCCUGUAAAGCAGUCAGUAAAGCUUGGGAAAGCAAACUCCUCCUCCUCCUCGCUCCCCGUGUGCCUCUGCUUAUCAAGUUCCAUCGGGGCAGCCACAGCCACAGAGCAUCCUGUAAUGUGUCUGCGGGUGCCGCGAAGAAGCUGAAGGGAAGAGCCCCAUCUUCAGCAAACACAAUACUGCUGUUCCUGAAAGCUUUUAUUGAAGGAAGUCUCGGUGCAGAGGCUGUGGGUCUGUCUCUGAGCUAGAGUUUUGUGCAUUGCACAAAGUGCCAUCGAAGUUGUAAAGAUCACAGGAAACAAGAUUCUGCCUUUGCAUUUAAAUCAUGAGCGGCUGUUCAAAGAGAUGCAAGCAUGGGAUUGUUAAAUUUGCCCAGACCAUCUUUAAGCUCAUCACAGGCACCCUCAACAAAGCUACUACUAGCAGUAGUGCAAUAGUGGGAAAUAUCAAGUGAAAUACUGAGAACAGAAGGAGGACUGAACUUAAUGUUUUGGCAUGUUCUGUAUGCCUCAUUGCUAGAUAUAAAAAGAAGAUCAAGUAGAAGUAGGUGUCUCCACUUGAAAAAAGGGAUUGAGAACUUGGACGUGUCAGAAAACAUCUUAAAAGAAUGAUUUCAGGUCUGCGAGAUGUGUCUUUUAAAUGCAACUCUAUACUUUUAUUUUAAAGAAAUGUAAGCAAUGACUUGAUCCUGGUCUAAAAAUGUCUAUGUGUGAAAAGAUUUCUAAUAGAAGAUAAGACUAUACAAGAAAAGGGUAUAACAAGAUCCAGUGAAUGAAAGCUGAAGUUAUGCAAACUUGGCCUAAAAAAGUACAAUUUUUUAUUUAAGGGUAAUUUUAAUCCUUUGAAGAGACUUGUCUAGAGAAGUAUCACUUGAUGUUUUUAAAUCAAUCCUAGCCCUCUGCCUAAGAGAAAUAUUAUAGCUAAACUAAGGGUCAAUGGCUAGGUGCAGAAUAAACUGGGUGAAUGUCUUAGCCUGAGUGCUCUGCUACACAUUCAAAGUAAAGCUGGGUAGAAACCACCUAUAAAGUUGUUACACAUUUUCAGGCACUAACUUUUUAACUGGUUGGCUCUUUUUAUAGCUGGAUGGACAUUUUUAUGGCUUGAUGAUUACUUUGCACAUGUGGCUAGUCUAAAUGUAUUAUGAGAUUAACUGGUUAAUUGCAUAAUAUAACAUGUGGCAGGACCCUGAGUUAUGCAGUAAAUAAGAGUCCUGGUCCCUGGAGUCUAUGAAGUUUCCAUUUUUGCUGUUCUUGCUCCUCCUCCCAGUUUUGUGCACAAAUGCACACACGUAGUUGUAGCUGAAGCAUCAUGCAUCAUGUCUGAAUAGGAAAAUCAAGAUUCAUGAAGCACAUCUGGGAAGAUUUGUUUGCUCUUUUUGACCAUAUAACAGCUAGAAGUUUUAGUCAUAUUUGAAGAGUUGAACCAUGUUCAUGGCCCAGUGGUGUUCUAAACAUUUCCUGUUCUUUCUUGUUAACCUUCUUUCUUGUGCUCUCUCUCUCUCUCUCUCCCCCUCUUUCUCAUGAAUUUUUCAACCCCAACCUUCCUCUCUCAUGAAUUUUCCAACCUCUGCAGUAUCUAAGCACAAGUAGCCGUUGGAAACUCAUUGCUGGAGCAAAAACCGAAAAGCAAGCAAGACAGUAUAGCUGAGCUGGAACAAAUAUUUCAGGGCUGCAAUGUUUCUACAAGCUAUGGCCAUAAUCCUGCAGUGGACUGAAUGUGUAGGCUCACUGCUGUGUCUCUGUGGAGACCAGAUGACUUCAUUAGUGCUCCAGGAAGCAGUCAAAUCAGGCCUUUAAUCAGAUCUGCUCUGAACUUUUGGAGUCUUUAUAAUUGGGUUGGAAAUCUCCUGAGAUUUUUGUAACUAUUUAGUUCUGAUCAGUUUACAAAUACUGCACAAGACUCUUCCUGUUUAUUGGAAAUUGAGAGGCAGCAUAAAUAAACAAA